GGAGAGAUGCCGGAGUGGACGAUCGGGGCGGUCUCGAAAACCGUUGUGCCCUUACGGGCACCCAGGGUUCGAAUCCCUGUCUCUCCGCCA
rnacentral:tRNA from 1 species